UACGGAGGGUGCAAGCGUUAUCCGGAUUUACUGGGUUUAAAGGGUGUGUAGGCGGAUUUUUAAGUCAGAGGUGAAAUCUCCAGGCUCAACCUGGAAACUGCCCCUGAUACUAUUAGUCUUGAAUAUUGAUGAGGUGGGCGGAACGGGUCGAUGUAGCGGUGAAAUGCUUAGAGAUGACCCGGAACACCAAUUGCGAAGGCAGCUCACUGGGCCAAUUAUUGACGCUGAGGCACGGAAAGC
rnacentral:rRNA from 1 species